CGCCAUAAGUGGGCUACUGCAAUGGUAUUUCGAAAGUGUUACAAGCACUUCGUUGCGGUAGCUCAAAAAACUGAGGUCUAUUGUAACACGGUGAAAUCGGUGUUACAAUAGUCGUUAACCUAGUGUUACAUGAAUGUGAUGGUGUUACACGAUAUGUAACACUAGCAACUGGUGUUACAAUAGAUAGUAUUUUUAUUUUUUUCCAAUUAAAGUAAAUAUUUAUCAUAAAAUUACAUUUUUAAUUAUAUUCUGGAUUAUUAAUUACUGUAAAAUAUUAUAUUUCAUAUUUUAACUUUUUUUUAAAUUUUUUGCAUUUUAUUUCAAAAACAAAUAAUUAUAUAUAAAAUUAAAAAAGACACUUUUUACUUAUAUAAUAAAAUAAUCUGUUAAUUAUUAAUACAAAGUAAAAUCAAAAUGUUAUUAUCGAGGUGAAUUGUCUGGGCGGUAGUUUUCCCCCCAACUGAAAAUUAGGCCAAGUCAAAACACACUCACAUCACAAAGACACUCUGUCUCGAACAUACUCUCCCUCUCUCUUUCUCUCUCGAACACACUCUCUCGGCUCUCAGCUUUCUUCUUCGAUUCAAGCAUGGAUUCAGGCAUCGAUUAGGUAAUUAGGGUUCGUCGAUUUGGGGUUCUUCGAUUAACUGGGGAUUGAAGUUUCUGAGGGGAUUUAACUUUUUGAGGGGAUUGAAGUUUUAUACAUUUUAAGGGUUUCAUUGGGUAAAAAGCUUUGAUUAAGGUAAAAAGCUUUCAAUGGGUUUAUGUCUUUAUAUGUUUAUGUGUUUAAUUUUAAUUUUUUGUAUUUGCUCGAUUGGGUUUAUUUUGUGUUCGAUUGGGUUUAUUUUGAGUAUCAUUGGGUUGAUACAUGAUAUUUAGGUAUGGGUUUUCAGAGACUAGAUUUGAUUGUCAUGAGCUUCUUUAGUGUAUGUUUAAACCUAAUUCACUGCAUUUAUUUUGUUGAUAAAUUGAUUGUUGUUGGUCGAUUCGUGCAUAUGUGAUUAACAGUAGACUUUUGGUAUACAAGUGUGUACUUGUCAGUGGUUUACAAAGUGUUAUUGUUCAGGUUAUUAAGGUGAUAAAGAAAGCACAGAGGAUUGGGACAGGGUUAGUCCUGCUAUUCUUCUCAAAGCAGAUGGUUUUGUCUUAGUUGCAUUUCAAACAUAUAAUUCUUCGACAUUUGGAUUCCUCUUUAAUUUCUAAUUUGAUUGUGGAAGAAAGAACACGAUACAGUUUACUCCAUGUUCAUUUCAUUAGUCUCAGAGUAGUUUGAUUUGUUAUGACCGUACAGAUUCUAACAAUUUUAUGGCUACUGGAUAAUCAUACAGUACAUAUGAACUUUCAAGAAUCAGCAAAAAUGAUUAUUCCAGCAAUUUUAUGGCUCCAUAUUGUAAGGAUUCCAAGGACUAGAAAUACAGUUAUGCAGUUAUGUUCAUGGUUCUCAUUAUUUAAAGAAUAAUAAUAAAGCCAAGGAGUCUGAUAAUUUUUUAGCUUUUCAUGCUUGCAGGCAUAUGACAUACGGUCCAGAAUAUAUUUUAUCCAGAGGUAACCAAGAAUCAUUUUAAAGAUCUUGCUUACAUUUGUGUUAGUGGUGAAGGCACCAGUUUGCAAAAGUUACUUGUUUAUACAGACUCUACACGUGACGUAGCAAGCUUGAAUCAGAGGAAGAGGAAGUUGAAGAGGUUGAGGAUAAAAAAGAAGCGACACAAGAAGAACCUUAAACUAGGGAAGAUAGGCAAAAACACAGGACAUCAAGUCUGUUAGCUGGCAUAAGGCGCUUCAGUUUACAUGGAUGGUGCUCUCUCUAUUGUAUACCAUGUUAUCCACUAGUUUGUUCCACUGUCUAGUUCUUUUAUCAUAGUUUGGGCAUGUAUCGGGGUAGUUGUUGAAAUAGAUGAGAAUGAUAUGGAAAUGUAGUUUAAUAUUGUGUUGUUAGGAUUGUUGUCUCACAGAGCAUAUUUGAUAUAGGGAUUGUUGUUUAAAUGGAGCAUGUAUUUUAAAAUUUAUAUAUUAAGUGUUACAUUAGCCUCGUUUACUGUUAUAGUAUCUUAGAUUUAGUGUUACAUUAUUUCUACCUGCUGUUAUAUUAUUGUGAACUUUAGUGUUGCAAUAAAUAAAUAUACUGUUACAAUAGGUUAUGUGGACCCCACGGGUGGGCCCCAAAUGUAGGACCCACUUUAAGGCCCUCUUAUGGGGCCCACUUUAAAAAAAUCAGUCAAGCUAUUGUAACAUUUUUCAGGUGUUACAUUUGGACAUUCUGAUGUUACAAUAAGGUCCUAUUGUAAUGUUUUUACUGGUGUUACAAUAGAUCAAACAUGUGUUACAAUAGACAGGCUAUUGUAAUGCUCGCAGAUGUAACGCCCCGUAGUGUUACAAUAGACCAAUU